GUAGGGCGCAAGCGUUAUCCGGAAUUAUUGGGCGUAAAGAGCUCGUAGGCGGUUUGUCGCGUCUGCUGUGAAAUCCCGAGGCUCAGCUUCGGGUCUGCAGUGGGUACGGGCAGACUAGAGUGCGGUAGGGGAGAUUGGAAUUCCUGGUGUAGCGGUGGAAUGCGCAGAUAUCAGGAGGAACACCGAUGGCGAAGGCAGAUCUCUGGGCCGUAACUGACGCUGAGGAGCGAAAGGGUGGGGAGCAAACAGGCUUAGAUACCCUGGUAGUCCACCCCGUAAACGUUGGGAACUAGUUGUGGGGUCCAUUCCACGGAUUCCGUGACGCAGCUAACGCAUUAAGUUCCCCGCCUGGGGAGUACGGCCGCAAGGCUA
rnacentral:rRNA from 1 species